ACUUCCAGGGUGAUAAUGGUGAUCAGAAGGAUGGCCAGGCUAAACCCAUAGCCGAUCUUCCAGGGGUUACCAGCGCCUCCAACUUUGAUUCCCAAGACAAUGUUGACUGCUGCAAAGAAGAGCACAAGCCUGCCUACCCAAUGGUGAUACCAGUUCCAGUAUUUCCGGUACUUCGAGUCUUUGUUGGGCCGGAAGCAGAUAUCACAUACCUGGAGGAUACCAAGCACAAGCACAAAUAUGCCAAGGCCUCUAUGUGCUGGAACAUCUGCUUGGAUCUUGCCGUAGAGUGAUACUCCAGCCACAACGCCGGCCAGACCGAGGAUGAAGCCGACGAACUGAAUGCCGCCAUGA
rnacentral:rRNA from 1 species